rnacentral:rRNA from 1 species
UACGUAGGGGGCAAGCGUUGUCCGGAUUUAUUGGGCGUAAAGAGCGUGUAGGCGGUCAGGUAGGUCCGUUGUGAAAACUCGAGGCUCAACCUCGAGACGCCGAUGGAAACCAUCUGACUAGAGUCCGGAAGAGGAGAGUGGAAUUCCUGGUGUAGCGGUGAAAUGCGCAGAUAUCAGGAAGAACACCCGUGGCGAAGGCGGCUUUCUGGACGACAACUGACGCUGAGACGCGAAAGCGUGGGGAGCAAACAGG